rnacentral:lncRNA from 1 species
UUGAAUUUUGAUUGAAUAGAAAUUUGCCUUCGAUCGGACCCUUAGUUCGAAACCAAUUGUGAAUGAAGAACAAGCUAUAAAGUAAGAACUUUGCAAUAGCUAAAAAGCAGAAAAAUAAAUGUGUAUUGCCUUAAUUGGCGUGUUACAAUGUGUCUUCUUAAAGAAAAAGCUCCCCCUUUAUACCGUAAGAGAGUUUUAUCCUUAAUAAAAUUCUAAAAAAGGAUUAAAAAAAUUCCUUUAAUUUCUCGCCAAUUGAUGUGUAACUGAUAUCGGGCGAGAUUUGUGCCGUGAUAUCCGGUUGGGUACAUAUAUCACGGCCCUCUAUUAGUCAUGGGCAAUUAUUUGCCAUAUUUUUCAAGGUGUAUUGGAGCUCGUUUUUAGGCCCGAGGAGUGUUGCUUCAUCACGCAAGGCUCCCAGCCUCGAUUUCAACCUUAUAUGUCCGUAACCUUCUUCCGUUUUCUCAUCAAAAAAUUGUGUAAGCAUUGUUUCCGAUUUUAUCCGUAUACACCUUCCAUACUGAAAUCAUGAUAGAUAGGUGGUGGGUUUGAGAGGUCUGGUUUGAAAAAUUUGACGAGGAAGAGUUGGUAAGUGUUGG